UACGUAGGUGGCGAGCGUUGUCCGGAUUUACUGGGCGUAAAGGGAGCGUAGGCGGACUUUUAAGUGAGAUGUGAAAUACUCGGGCUCAACUUGAGUGCUGCAUUUCAAACUGGAAGUCUAGAGUGCAGGAGAGGAGAAUGGAAUUCCUAGUGUAGCGGUGAGAUGCGUAGAGAUUAGGAAGAACACCAGUGGCGAAGGCGAUUCUCUGGACUGUAACUGACGCUGAGGCUCGAAAGCAUGGGUAGCGAACAGG
rnacentral:rRNA from 1 species